AGCGCGCGGGAGUCGGGAUUGUGCUUGCACGACUUCCCCCGGCCCGCGGCCUGUGAGCCCAGGUCCUGGGGUGAACCGAGCGCUCGCUCGUUCGUCAGACCGUAGCGCUCCAGCGGCUGUCCUUACUGUGUAGUAGCCAAAGCUGAGGGUGAUGACUGUGAACCAGAACAGACUGCCUCGCUGAAAAGUCACUUGGAACUCUUCUGUGGCAUCUGAAGCAGAUGGACGAAGCCAAGAGGGCCGAGAGUAUCUCAGCACCUAGAAAUGGACAAGGCUGGUUAUUAGAACAAAGAUUUCGCAGGUGGUGAGUCUCAAAGGCGAAGCUGAAUGAGGCAAGAAUCUGCAUCAAAGAGCCCUGGAAGCAAUCAUGGCUCAACUGUGAUGCCUUUAGAACAUGAAGUCCUCCAAGAAGAUGCCAUAGGAAUGGCCUCCAUCCCAGGGCCUGGAGAGCAGCCAGAGACAAGAAGAGUAGCCCAGGAGGGCACUGGCAGUCAGUGCUACACUGUGGCCUGUCAGUCUCAGAGCCAGGAUUUAAUCACUGGAUCUCCCAUUAACCAGUCAUAAUGAAGUAAGAACAAGAAGAUGGGGAAGAGGAAGUGUAAAACCGUGGCUUAAAUUUGCCAAGGAUAAGCUGAGUGUACUUCAGCAGUCAUUUGCACAGAAUCCUUAUCCUAAUUUUACAACCAGGGAAAAACUGGCUGGACAGUCUCUUGUCCUGUGUUUGUAAUUGAUAACUGGUUUCAAAAUAAAAGCCAGACCACCACUUAGAGAGAGACACAGAAUGUUCACUGCCAGGGAACUGCAUGAUUCCUCUGCCAAAGGCCACCCAUUUACAAGAAUCCAGGAAAACCAGGUGGAAUCUCCCAAUGAUGACCCUGAGCAGAACUUCUUGUACCCAGGAAGUUCUACUGGGUGGAGCUGGCCACUCUUCCGUGGAGACACAGGGGACUCCCAAUUAACAUGAUGGCUCAAAUAACUGUAGCCUUAUGGAUUAAAAGGAAACUAAGCUGUGAUUUGGAGUAUCCAGGUGAUACAGAAAAUGGCCCUUGUCGAUGUAGAUCAGCAUUAUUUCCUUAUCCUUCUGCAUCUCCUCCUCAGUAUUCUGAAAGGGACAAGCCUGAGAUGGGGGAAAGCCAGCAUGCAAGGCCCUCCCCUUUGUGCUGUGUUCAUGGUGUGCACGGAGAGAGGCAGCAGCAGGAGGAACAGAAAGGUUAUUUUCUUUACUGACUCUUUCAAGGACAUCAGCAGAAUGGUUGGGAAUGUCAUCAUGAGCAGCCUCAGCCUCAGAAUUACCAGGAGAAGCUGGUCUUCCAGGAUCAGGUUCUAAUGUAUAUGAGUCACAGGAUUUAGGGAAGCAGGCACUUUCCCUUCAGUCCCAGCAGCAUGGUUGAUGUUCCCAAGUAAUGGAGAGUCCCUGUGCUCUCAGUUGUGGCACACACCUUUGCAAAUAGUGAUCAGAUCUCCACAAACGCCUCUUGGGUAAGAUAUGCAGCAACAUAGCUGGCUGCAGAGCAACCCAGUUCCCAAAUCCAGCAGCUCUUGGAUGAGAAGUCUGCAAGUGUUUACUGCUGGGACCAGGACUGUGUUUCUAGGAAAUGGUGCUAGGCUUCAGAGAGCAUCAUCCACAGGUCAUCCCACAACCAUCCACACAGAAGCCUGAGGAAAAGGGCUCUGCAGAGCUUGCACAUAAAGAUGCUGAACUCAGGAAGGCUCUGUGAGCUGCUGGUCUCUUCUGGUAGGGCAGCAGUGUCCUGAGAAGGUGGAGCUAGAGUAUGGAGAACAAAACUAACAAGCACCAAGGCAGCAAGCAAGGCAACCCCCAAAUGACAGCAGUUGCCAAAUCCAAAGCAAUCUGUGCUUCAGAAGACAGAGGCUCUGCACAGUCCCUGUCUCAGACAUUGUCUCCUCCUUAGAAGAUACCUAACAACAGCACUGUGGGAGGCUGAGGUGGGUGGAUCACCAGGUCAGGAGAUCAAGACCAUCCUUGAUCUUUAGUAGAGACGGUGAAACACUGUCUCUACUAAAAAAUACAAAAAAAAAUUAGCUAGCCGUGGCGGCGGGCACCUGUAGUCUCAACUAUUUGGGAGGCUGAGGCAGGAGAAUGGCCUGAACCCGGGAGGCAGAGCUUGCAGUGAGCUGAGAUUGCGCCACUGCACUCCAGCCUGGGCAACAGAGUGAGACUCCAUCUC
rnacentral:lncRNA from 10 species